rnacentral:rRNA from 1 species
GACGAACCGUGCGAACGUUGUUCGGAAUCACUGGGCUUAAAGGGCGCGUAGGCGGGUCUUCAAGUCCGGGGUGAAAGCCCCCAGCUCAACUGGGGAAGUGCCUUGGAGACUGAAGGUCUCGAGGGAGGUAGGGGUCCGUGGAACUUCGGGUGGAGCGGUGAAAUGCGUUGAUAUCCGAAGGAACGCCGGUGGCGAAAGCGACGGACUGGAUCUCUUCUGACGCUGAGGCGCGAAAGCCAGGGGAGCAAACGGG